GACGAACGCUGGCGGCGUGCCUAACACAUGCAAGUCGCACGAGUCCACUCCUUCGGGAGUGAGGCGAGUGGCGGACGGGUGAGUAACACGUGAGCAAUCUGUCCCGCUGCGGGGGAUAACCCGGGGAAACGUCGGGCUAAUACCGCAUGGUCGGCUUCCAGGAUCUGGGAGCCGGGAAAGGUGGCCUCUUUACAAUGCUACCGUGACGGGAGGAGCUCGCGGGCUAUCAGCUAGUUGGUGCGGUCACGGCGCACCAAGGCAACGACGGCUACGGGGUCUGAGAGGACGACCCCGCACAUUGGAACUGAGACACGGUCCAGACUCCUACGGGA
rnacentral:rRNA from 1 species